UUUAAAAUUUCUCAACGAGAAUUCAAAAUUUUGUAUCAGAUUUCUGAACGCAUAGUCGCGCCCCCGCGCGCGCGCCGCUUCUGUCGCCCUCAUUGACGUUUUUCAUGCAGCCGCGGCCAUUACGUCCUAUUAAAAUAAAAAAGUAUUUAUAUCAAAUAAAGGACGAAAUAUGUAAAGAAGAAAAUAAAAUAGUAUAUCUUAUUUACCAAUAUUGCGGAAUAGAAGAAAAAAUAAGAAGAUUGGAGAAGAUUCAAGAGCAUACGCGUUCAAAUCCAAAUACGGCGUCCUUUCGUUGGAAAAGGCCCAGACGCGUUACAUACCGAUCGAUGGAUCAUGGUCUUCAACCUAUUCUAGGUCUGCAAUUCUGCAUCAUCUAGAUCCCUAUCUCCGCCAGCGGCGUAGAGAAGUAGAUAUCGCUCGGUAUCCAGAUGUAAGCCUCGCUCUCAAAUAGUGCCAGCAUUCGGUUAAUUAUUUAAUACACAUAAUAUUCCGAAAAGGAACAUUAAUUAUAAUCAGAUAAAUAAUUAAGAACAUUAUAAAAGAAGUAUGACCCGGACAAGAUUACAAAAGACUACUCUGCGCUGUAACAAAUUAUUGGUCCUCCGAAGAUGAACCCAGAGACUUAAGCUGCAGCUGGCGAGAUUCUUGCCAGUGGGGAACGAGGCUAAGUAUUGAAAUGAUACAAAUAAAGUUUCCUGUUCUCUAACUGAGAUGAUUAAGCUCUAAAAAAUUGUGUACUGUACCAGCUAUAAGAAGAUAUUGUCAUUUUUAAGUGAUUCUGUUCAUUUUUAGUGUUCCGUACAAAACUUUGUUUACGGAACACUUAUGGGAUCACUUCGGUCUUGUUUGAAAUUAAAUAAUGAAUCAUAAUAAAUGGCAUAAGAGGUUUAUUAAAUCUUUUAAACAUGCUGUUGACAAGUGAUGUUUUAGGAACAUCUAGCAGAAAAAGUUUAAUCUCCGGCAGCCCAGCCCGUAAGCCUGGUACUUUAAACUUCAAAGGCUCAACUACCAAUCAUAUUUUCUAACGUAUGAUUUGCUGUUGUAUUUGUUUCAUACAAAAAAGUAUUAUUAAACAUAACAAUAUACAAAAACCCCUGGUCAAAAGCAAGGAAGAGGAAGCGGAGCAAGACUUUUCCUCUCUGCAUUCACAAUGUGGUCGCACACAGCGACACCACAACAGCUUGUGUUCGUUUAGAACAAAUUCUUAAAAGCAGUGGUUUUUUUUUUUUUUUUUUACAUACAAGGAUUUUGUCCGGGCUAUCUCAUACAAAGUUCCUUUUUUAUCUGUGCCAACACCUACAAGUAUUCCGAAAUAUGAUCACAUCUGUGAAAUUGAUAGUCGAAUACUAGAAAAAUAAUGUUCACUUUAUAUGUACAGCAAGGCAAGAUCCAUAUAUCAACAUAAGCACAUUUAGGUAGUGCAACUGAGCGGUUUUAAGUUAACAAGAUAUUAGAAUUGCCAGAAACUAAGAACACAAAAAUUGUUAAAUGAGCACUAGCUCCAAGAUGUUUUUACUUGAUUGCUUGAAUGUAGAAAACAUAUCUGUUUCAUGUGGAAAGAUGAGAUUUCAGUUUUUAGUCCUAACUAUUAAACUAGAUAUCUCUCUAGCUAGAUAUAUGUGCCAGACCUUUUAUGAAGUGUUUAAAAUCACAUACACACACACGGUUUAGAUUAUAGAUAUAUCUAUUGUUGAUACUCCUUAUAACAAAUGUUAUACUAUGUAGGUACUUAUACAGGAUACACUUAAUUAUAGUCUUGGUACCAUUACCUAUGUGGAGUUAUAAUCAAAUGGAACUAGCUCCUUAGUACCUCUGAAAGCUGGUUACUAUAUAUAUAGAUUUAUUUCUUUACCUACUAAGGAAAAAAUUCAAAGUUAAUCUAAAGAUAAAGCCCUUUAUAAAUUGGUACAUUGCUAAUACAAAUUGGUUGUUUGUAUAGUUAUAAGUUUUGCUAAUGAAUAUGGCUAUGUGUAUGUUUACACAAACGCUUUAAGGGUUAAAGAGCUGAAAAGACAAUAAUACAUACUUAUACUAAAUUCAAUAUAUUUUAAAGAAACCUAGUGUGACAUUUUUUGGUGGCUCAUUAAAAUAAAGAAUUAUAAAUAUACUUUCUGCUGAUAUUUACUUACUUACAGUAACAGUUUAUUUACAUGCUGGGGCGGCCGAUUAGAAAUGAGUUAGCUGUUGGAUUAUGGAAGGAGUCAAAAAGAAUAUAUAUUACAUUAAAUUUGUUCAGCUUA